rnacentral:tRNA from 1 species
GGGACUGUGGCUCAGUGGUAGAGCGCUCACCUAGCACAUGUGAGGCCCUGGGUUCAAUCCUCAGCACCA